rnacentral:rRNA from 1 species
GUGAUUCGUCACACUAUCAUUAACUGAAUCCAUAGGUUAAUGAGGCGAACCGGGGGAACUGAAACAUCUAAGUACCCCGAGGAAAAGAAAUCAACCGAGAUUCCCCCAGUAGCGGCGAGCGAACGGGGAGGAGCCCAGAGCCUGAAUCAGCAUGUGUGUUAGUGGAAGCGUCUGGAAAGGCGCGCGAUACAGGGUGACAGCCCCGUACACAAAAGCGCAUGUGCUGUGAGCUCGAUGAGUAGGGCGGGACACGUGGUAUCCUGUCUGAAUAUGGGGGGACCAUCCUCCAAGGCUAAAUACUCCUGACUGACCGAUAGUGAACCAGUACCGUGAGGGAAAGGCGAAAAGAACCCCGGCGAGGGGAGUGAAAAAGAACCUGAAACCGUGUACGUACAAGCAGUGGGAGCACCCUUCGGGGUG